rnacentral:tRNA from 1 species
GCCGGGGUGGCCGAGCGGCCCAAGGCGCGGGACUCGAGAUCCCGUCCCCGAGAGGGGGCCCGGGUUCAAAUCCCGGCCCCGGCGCCA